AUGGUGGACAAAACAUGUUUUGUGUGUUUGUAUUAAAGCGUCCUCUGUAGCUGGAAGAUGCUGAAAUUUUGCUGUUUCUUCCUUUGUGCCACCACAGUGGAAUUUCUAGUGUGCUAGUUGUUGGUAACAUUUCCGUGAUUUUUCCCGAGGAGACCUAGACUCAAGCAGAAACAAGUGAUCGAGACGACUUGAAGCAGCAAAAUUUUGCUGAUUUAGGUCUCAUCUCUGCUCUCCCAGGAUCUACACAGACUCGUUCGUGGGAACUGUGUGCAGGCAAGCUGGUGAAGGGAACGUUACCAAUGGCUAUAAUACAUACGGGGUGCUUUUUUUUAUAUUCGACACUGAUUUUUUUAUUUAAUUAAAAACUAUUGGGGCUGAAUAAAUUAUAUUUUGCGGCUCUGUUAUAGGGUCAAAUGGACAUUCUGUAGGACAGCUUACGCAACUACUGGAUAACCAAUUAGCAAGAAUGCAUUAAUUAACUUAGAUAUUUUCUGGAAAAUGUGAGGUAGGAUUUGAGCCAACUAUUCAAAUCCAUUCUCCUUAUUAAACGCCUGGUGAAAGGGAACAUAUAUUGAAUAAAUUUUGGAAUUUUGCUAUGCAAAUGAGCUAAACCCAGAACUACACAGCUUGAGUGCAGAAAGAUGUGACAGGCAUUCAAAUAUAAAUCCAUUCAUAUCUCAAAGUAUGAUCACUUCUCAGGGUGUUUAACAUCUGGAUAACAACUGGCUCCAAUUCUGCUAUCUCGCAUUUCCCAGAAAACAUCUUAUUAACUAGUUAGUUAAUGAAUUUUAACUAGCCGUCAAGUAGGUGUAUGCGCUGUCCUAUUGGAUGUCCACCUGGCCGUAGAACCCACCUGCGAAAACGAAAUUUAUGCAGCUCUAAUAACUUUUUUAACAAAAAAAUCUGUGUCAUAUAAGGAAACACCUCGUAUAGAUUUUCCAUCUUCUUUCGUUUUUUUCUCCUUUCUCUGUGCAACAAUUUCAGGUUGGUUUGCAUAGCUUGACAUAGCGUCUUGUUCUGUGUUUGAACAGUGCACUGUGCCGUGAUGAAAAUUGCCAGAUUGAACUGUAUCGAGCAGAUGCACACGUCAUGGCGAGUGCAUGUGCUGAGAAUAUGCCAGUUUCUGUUCCCCUGUAGUAGCGUCAUUGGUAGGAAUGGUGCAUGUACAGGUGUUUGUGCUCAUUAUUAUUAUUAUUUUGUGCUCAUUGGUAUGAAGUAUUGUUAGGCUGUUUUACAAUGCACUACUAACUGGAUGACCAGGCAGUUUUCUGUGUACUUUGUAGGACAAAUUCCCUGUGUGAUAAUAUAUUUUUGUUUUCCUUUCAAAAUAUCUUAAAGCGUAUGUAAUGAAAACACACUUUUCCCUCUCUUGCUCUCAUCUUCACCUUGUCUUCAGAGGGCAGCACCUUUAUCGAGCCGCCUUCCUACCUUACUUGCACUGAAACACGAGGAAACGACCUGCAUGCAGACUGAGAAAACGAUUUGCCAUCUAGCGCUUACAGCUUUAUUUCUUUGAUGCAGCUACAAACAUUAUCCUAUAUGAGAACCAGUGUAUAUUUCUAUUUCAAUGUGUACACUUAGACAUACUUGUGUUUUUGGGUUUUGUGUGUUUUGAAAACCUGUUUAAGGGGAGGGGGAAGAAAAAAAACGGUUUCUCUUUCAGGAGCAGUGAAAUCGGGCUAUAUCGGGUUGAGAAGCAGAUUUUCGGGUGUCACAUUUAAAAAUAAAGUGCUUCUCACUUUUCAGAUGAACAGGAACAGCUUUGCAUGAUGCUUUGCAUCCUCCAGUGCCUGUAUUGGAGAGAAUUUUCCAUUUGGCAAAUUCAAUUAAAACCUGUUUUUACCCUCUUCCCCCAGUUUUGCAACAGCACGCACACGAAGUAAAAUUAGGGUGGGAGGGUUUCACCAUGUUUAACCCUAAAACAGAAGGUUCCUGUGGACAUCCCAUCCUUGCAGUCAUUCUGUGCCAGCUGGCAUAAGGCAGUAAUAGAUACCUAUUUGUCUCGCAGGUGGGACAGGAUCCUUUCCUCCAUAUGACGUCGGACCCAGGCCUCCACCGGUGUACAAGUGCAGGUACUGCCCCUACACAGGUCAGGUUCCCAGCAAGGUGAAGACGCACGAAAGACGCCACACGGGUGAAAGGCCAUUCCAGUGUGUACUGUGCCCCUAUUCUGCAUCCACCAAGUACAACUUGGUUGUCCACAUGCGGACACAUACGGGAGAAAAACCGUACAAGUGCAAGUACUGCAGCUACUCGACUGGAGUGCCCAGCACGCUGGUAGUGCACGAACGAAAGCACACCGGCGAGAAGCCCUACAAGUGUUGCCACUGCAGCUACAGCACAGGAAUACGCUCAUGCAUUGUUGUCCACGAGAGGACACAUUCGUUGCACAAACCAUAUCAGUGUCGUUUAUGCAGCUAUUCGGCUGGGAAAUCGUGCUCUCUCAAGCUGCACAUGAGGACCCACACAGGGGAGAAGCCUUAAUCGCUGCGGGUUGUGCGAUUUUUUCCGCAGCAGCCAAGCAUAUAUGCACCACAUGUGUACCAGACGCAAGAGCGAGACUGCUCAAAAGUAACGUCAAACUGAAGAUGUGUGCAAAAUGUGUUGUAUUCUCUGAAAUGUUGCACAUCCAGCUUGUUUUGUUUUGUUUUUCGCACCAGUUUAUAUAUUGUUGGCUUUAGCCGAUUUGCAGUGCAUUUGUAGGUUGCAUUAUGGUGCUUGUUUCACCAGAAAAAAAAAAAGUGGGGGCCAACUUGGUGAACAUCCCUUGUGACGCUAAUGCUCCUACCUGGAAUCUAUCAGUUAGCAAGUGCAGGUUCUGUGCCUACAUAGGCGACUGUCCAAGUAGGGUGAAGGUGCACGAACGAACUCACACAGGGGAGAGGCCAUUCCGGUGCAGAUUGUGUCCUUACUCUGCGGCCACCAACCACAACUUGAAGGUCCACCUGAGGACACAUACGGGGGAGAAACCGUACAAGUGCAAAUACUGCAACUUUUCCAGCGGGGUGUCCAGUGGUCUGGUAGUGCACGAAAGACAGCACACCGGCGUACAGCCCUUCCAGUGUCGCUUCUGCGACUACUACUCUGCAAAGUCUGGUUAUGUCAAGCUGCACGAGGGGACGCACAUGGGUGAAAAAAUGUUUCGCUGCGAGCUGUGCGAUUUUUCGGCUGCCAGAAAGCACUCUGUGAGACGUCACAUGUUGUUGAAGCACAUGGGUGCAAAUGCGGAGAAGUGAUGUGGUCCCUCAGCAGGUGGACAGAGCAUGUUUUGUGCAGUCUUAUUAAAGCGUACCUUGGUGGCGGAAGAUGUUGAA